UCUCCUCUUUGUUUGCACUGACCUAGAUACUUGUGACAGGUUUGUAGACUGCCAUCAUUUUAUAUAAACAAGGCGUUAUUUUUAAAUAUUAAAUCUAAUGAUCACUUCACCGCCAGUGAAUCCCUUCAUCCCUCCAAAUCAUGCAAUAGAUGGAAGACAGAAAGACCUAGAAGAUGGACAGAGUUGGAAACAGCUUUUCUUCGAAAACUUAUUUUUCAAGAUCAAAAAUCAGAAUCCACCCUUUUAAGGAACAGGCCCUGGAUUUAAUUUCCUUUCCUUUGUUCUUAGUUUUAAUUUCCCCCCAAACUACACUUGAUCUUCCAAUGUUCUUCGUUCUUAUUUAAUGCCAUUAUUUUUGCACUUCUGUCAUCCCUUUCAUCUGGGAAAUCACAAGGCCAUCUGAAACUUUCUCUGAUGAACUUCAGAGGGGUGCCAUAACAGUUACCCACGGUCACCUAGGGUCCAGAAGCUGAUGAUCCUGCUGAAUACUGGCAGAAAGUCAGUCGCAGCCAAGGGCUACAUCACAAUACCCACGUCAUUCACCUCACUUCCUCUCAUCAGGGAAGCAUUUUACUCUGUCACAUCAUCAUCACAAGAAGAAGGUGCCCACUUGAGAGGUCUGAUGGAGAGGCUGCCGUGCCAAGAACUGAGUACACCUCCAGCCAAAAGACAGCAAGGAACUGAACCCUUCCAACAAUCAUGUGAAUGACCUUGAAAAACAAAUUGUCCCAUGGUCAAGGCUUGAGAUUGCAGCAGUCCCAGAUGACUCUUUGAUUGCAGGCUUCUAAGAAACCUGAAGCAGAGCAUCCAGCUAAGCUAUAGACGAGGACUUCCUGCCCCCAAAACUGAGAUAAUAAAUAUUAUU